AUGAAGCCGCUGUACCUGCGGAGCAGCGGCAGCUUCAAGAGGCUGCUGCUCUCCCUCUCGCCCCACCGCGCCAAGCGCGUCCACGCGCCCCCCGACGUAGAGCACCCGAGCGCGCAGGCGGAGGCAGCGUCGCCGCCGCACGAACGGAAUCCCGAGUGGGAGUGCUUCUCGUACGAGGAGGUCCGGCGCGCCACGGGCGGCUUCCGCGCGGCCAACCUGGUGGGCCGGGGCGGGUCGUCGGAGGUGUACCGCGGCGAGCUGGCGGACGGGCGCGCCGUGGCGGUGAAGCGGCUCAUGGGCGCGUCCGCCUGCGAGCGCCGGGAGCGGGACUUCCUGGCGGAGCUCGGCACCGUGGGCCACGCCACGCACCCCAACGUGUGCCCGCUCCUGGGAUGCUGCGUCGACCGCGACCUGUACCUCGUCUUCGCCUUCUCCGCCCGCGGCUCCGUCUCCGCAAACCUCCACGACGGCGAGGAGGGGGCACCGGCGAUGGGGUGGGAGGCGCGGUACGGCGUGGCGGUGGGCACGGCGAGGGGGCUGGAGUACCUGCACAAGGGGUGCCGGCGGCGGAUCAUCCACAGGGACAUCAAGGCCUCCAACGUGCUGCUCACCGACGACUUCCAGCCGCAGAUCUCCGACUUCGGGCUGGCCAAGUGGCUGCCGACAGAGUGGACGCACCGGGCGAUCGCGCCGAUCGAGGGCACCUUCGGGUGCCUGGCGCCCGAGUACUACACGCGCGGCAUCGUGGACGAGAAGACGGACGUGUUCGCCUUCGGCGUCUUCCUGCUGGAGCUCAUGGCCGGCCGGAAGCCGGUGGACGGCACCCACAGGAGCCUCCUCGGCUGGGCGAGGCCUUUGCUCAACGAGGGCAAGACGGAGGCGCUGCUGGAUCCGAGGAUCGUCGCCGGCAAUGGCGGCUACGACGCCGAGCAGGCCCGGCGGCUGGCGUUCGUGGCGUCGCUGUGCGUUCGCGCGUCGGCGACGUGGAGGCCGUCCAUGACCGAGGUUCUGGAGCUGCUGGAGGGCGUGGAGAUCAAGGAGGAGCGGUGGGCGAUGCCGGAGCCGGCGGCCGGGGACGACGAGGGGGAGGAAAUGUGGGGCUUCGACGACCUCGACGACGACGACGAAGACGAGGAAUCCGGCACGCCGUCCCCUUUGUCAACGUCCUCAGCCUCGAGCGCUUAG
rnacentral:rRNA from 1 species